GGGCCUUGAUAACGCGACUCUCGCUACUGGUCCGCGCAAGAUGUCAGCGCCAUGUUGGAUUCAAUCUACAAUGGAUGAGGGUCGGUGAGGGUGAAGAUUCCUCAUAUGUCAUCCGACUCCGUCACAAUCUGGAAGUCUGGAGUUGACGCAACAAAGAGCUCAAUAAACGGGGGUGGAGAUAUGUUUCUUAACAAAACACAGGCCCAGAGGGAAGGAACAAACGUGUGUAUGAGCGUAAAAAAGAGGCUUGAUGUAUUUUUAAAAAUACAGAAUAUAUAACUAAUAGAUGAAAAAAGUGUGUAAAGCCACGGUUCACUUUCAGGUCAAAACGAACCAGAACGCAAAAGGUGGAACAAUUUAGUUUAAA